CGGGCGGGAAGGGCCCAGAGCCCGAGACCCGCCGCGCCCGCCCCCAGUCCUCCGUCCGCGGGGCCCCACCGCGGUCACGUGAAGGGCCGAGCGGAGCGCGCCGAGCCCGGCCUGCUGCCGCCCGAGGGCAGAGUCCGCUGCCUGCGGCCCCGACUUUCCCCCAUUCCCGCUCCGCGCGCCGCCGCCGCGAUGCCCGGGGCCCACCGAGCCGCUGGGCUGCAUCGCCCACACCCGUCCUCCCCCGAGGAGCCGCCGGCCCAGGAGGACCUUCUCCUGGCAGCUGCCUAUGUUUCUGACGCUCAGUACAACAGAAACGUUCCAUUUGAAACAUCCCCUCAGGCUGUCAGACUUUACCAUUUCUAUAACCACUGGACAAUGCGGGCGGCCACCUACUUCUUCAUUUGGGGGGACCUCGCUCUUGCCCUCUUUGAGGAACCGGCCCUGUUCCCGCUGCCUUUCUUGGCUACCUCGAUAGCAGAAGUACUCUGUCUGACUGCAUUCUCUGGGAGACUUGUACACUUUGCGAAAGUCACUCCUCAGAUGGUUUUCUGGAAGGAUACGAAAAACAUCUGCAUCGUGGUAACCAUAGUGCUGACCUUGAUUGAUCUGAUUAUCUAUGGGUCCCUGGAGGCUGUUAACAUCCACGGAGUUCGAUGGUCGAGGGCCUUGAGGCCAGUCUUCCUCAUUAAUUUCCCUGAAAGUCGUCAGAUCCGAAGGGCUUUUCGAAGCAUCCGGAACACUCUGCCUGAUAUCCUCUACGUCUUCCUCUUGUUCAUCUUCAGCAUGUUGAUAUUCUCCCUCAUGGCCUUGAAGCUUUUCGGGGAUAGGGGUCUCAAAACAGUGGAAGGAUCACCCUACUUCACCAACAUCCUGGACAUAGCAUUUGAGCUCUACGUGCUGGUCACGACCGCAAACAGCCCCGAUGUCAUGAUGCCUGCCUAUGAGUUCAAUUGGUGGUAUUCUCUGUACUUUAUAACCUACAUCAUCAUCAACACCUACAUCUUCAUGUCCGUCUUUCUGGCCGUUGUCUACAACAAUUAUAGGAAGCACUUAAAGAAUGAGAUUCGCACACUGGCAUACCUGAAGCGUCACAAAAUGAUAGAGGCUUUCAACAUUCUGAAAGUCAAGGUGGGCACAGAGUUUGUGGUGAAGGAGGCCCAGUGGAGGCAGCUGGCCAAGAUCGUGGCGCCAGACAUCAGCAGUUCCCACCUGGAGCUCCUUCUGAGGAUCUCCGACGAGGGACAGAAGGGUUAUGUGGACAAAAUGAACUUUCUACGCUUGGCUGACCUCCUCAACAUCCAGGUGGUCACCAUCAACAUCAAGAGACACCCGCUGGAAGCCUGGAUGCCUCGGGUAUACCAGUCGUCCCCAAGCCUCUUGGUUCAGAAGGUGGUUCGGCACAGGAUUUUUGUCUGGGUUUAUGAUGUCAUCAUUCUAAUAAAUGCCAUAUUCAUUGCUUUGGAUGAGAAAAACCCCUUAAUUUCCUAUGCCGAAUGGCUUUUCCUUUCUCUCUAUAUUAUUGAAAUUCUCCUGAAAUUGUACACGUAUGAACCCAGAGCCUAUUUUGGAAGGAAGCAGUUCUGGAACUGGUUUGAUACGCUGAUCAUCAUCGCAGCCCUGGUGGCCACUGUGGCCAACACCACCAUUCAGUCAGCGAGAAAAUACAACAGUCAGCAGAUACUGGAUAUUGUCUUGAUUUUGAGAAUACUCCGGCUCUUACGGAUCAUUGUCAGCAUUCAGAGAUUCCGGGUGAUCGUGACCACCUUAAUUAACAUCGGCCCCACGAUGCUGACGUUUGGCGGUCUGGUCUUGGUGGUCUACUACGUGUUUGCCAUCAUCGGGAUGGAAGUGUUCCAUGGCAAAGUCCACUUCUUUGACCCCAGUUCCACCAGUCCUGAUGCCCUGGAGUGUGGGAACCCAGCCCUAAAAGACUCAGCGUUUGCCCGAGGCAGGUACUGCAGGAACAACUUCAAUGACCUGGCUGCCUCUCUCAUCCUGCUGACAGAGCUCACCGUGGUUAACCAGUGGCACGUCCUCGCAGAUGGCUUUGCCCUCGUGACUCACCAGGCGUCAAAGCUGUAUUUCAUCGGCUUCCACGUCGUGGUCGUCAUCCUCAUUGUUAAUAUUUUCAUAGCGUUCAUCUUGGAAGCGUUUUUUGUGGCAUAUUCGUUAGAAAAAAGUGAAGUGGAAACUGCCAUUGAGAAGAAGAUUCAAGAGCUUGGAGUUGGGGUCCAAGAGGAAGAAGUGCAGGAUGGGAAGCUCAUUGACAAUGUGGACGCCAAGGAUAGUGGCUUCAGUGGGGACGAUGGAGACAACAAAAGGAAGGCCUUGAAAGGACUGUACUUUAGAAUUGCAUCAAAAAAGUACAAGACCGUGGAUGCUUUGCUGCAACAGAUGUUUGAGUCUGAAAUAGCUCCAGAGGAUGAAGGCCCUUCCUUGGAGGAGAUUCUGAACUUCUCACCCAGUGACAUACAUCCCAAGAAUCCCACUUUUGAAAACAGUGCCUGACCCUGGGCCUGUAAGGGCCACAGGCAUCCACAACUGGAAACCAAGAUAAGCUGUCCUCACUGUUUGCAGAUGCUACCUAGAGGUUACUUUCCCAGCCCAGGUUCUCUUCUGUGUUCUGAUAAGACUGUGAAUCGGCCUCCCCUGCCCUGAGUGGUCAGCUCUGUGUGCUCUCCUGAGGUCAUGCUUAGGGCUGACCAUGGAGGUGAGGAAAGGAAAACCUACAAGGAGACUGGAGAGCACUUACCAUACAAGUGUUUGUACGUGUGUAAAUCCUCUCGGUGGCUCCUGGCGGCCACCAUUCUACUUUCUGUCUCUGUGAAUUUGGCUACUCCUGAUCACAACUGCAUUGUGAGCAAGUGAGUCCUUUCCAGAGUUGUCAGGGUAGGUAGGACUCCUCCGUCUUCUGCACCCCGUCGCAGGCCCUACCCUGAGCAGGGGAAUCGGGGGUGGGAAUCAAGGCUUCCUGACCUGAGGGCUCUGAGUGCUGUGAGGCCGUCACGUGUCAUGUCAUGUGUCACAUGUCAGCGUGGCAACCAAACCUGGCCUGGGAGGCCCCUUUCCUUGGUCUGAGGGCGACCCCUGGUGUCGGAGCAAAGCGAAAGCUUCAGGGCUGGGACUCUGGGGCCGGGCUGGUUUCAUGCCUGACUCCCCACUGACCAUGCCACCUCCGGGCUCUGCUUCCUCACCUGCAAACUCGGGGCAGGUAGCACCUCCCUCCCAAGAUCGUGUGGACUGGGGAGGAGAAGAGGGGGGGGAUGCUGACCGGGCUGUUUCAGAUGGCGCUUCCUGGUUUGAAACCUGGAAGGCUGGUGUUUGGCGUCAGGGUUUGGGAUUCCAUUACCACCACGAUUCCCAGGAGGUGGGAGCCUUGCUGACCCGUCUGAUGGGAUUUGUGGAGUCCUGCCAUCCAUCCAGACCUCUCUUAUUUCUUUGUGUAUUUAACAUUUAUCACUAUAUAAAGGAUUAGGUUAAAUAUGCUGAGUGACAACUUAAUGUUUUUAAUUUGAAAAUAUGAUGGGCAUUUUUAAAUUAGAAACCAUGCGGUCACUGUAAAACAUUCAAUACAGAAAUAUAGUAAAAAGUCAAAAGUUGCUCUUUAUUCUUCCUUCUCCUCACCCCUUCCCCUCUCAUUCUUCCACUCACAACCUGACACCCCCUUUCCGGUGGGAACUGCUGAGUUUGUUGUUUUUCCUUCUGGCACUAAAUGGAUAUCAUGCAAUUACUAUGUAAUCAUUCUUUUAUCAUAAGUGGGAUGUCAUGACAUUUAUCAUAUAUAGCUCAAGAACCUGCUUCUUUCACUUACUAGUAAUUGUUUCAUGUUGAGAUAUAGGUAUAGAGACACAUAUAGACACACACACACACACACUGCUGUCAAGUGUUCCAUACCAUUGAUGUUUCUUGAUAUGGAAGAAUUCACAUAUUCAUGGACCUGUAUGUUGUUCCACGUGUUCAGUGUUAAACGAUAGUGGAGGAAACUUUGUUGUGUAAUUUUUUCUCAAGUGUGAGCCCUUCAGUAGGAAAGUCUCGGGGUCAGACUCUUGGGGUCCGGUUACCAGUGUCCUGCAGCAGCCCCCGUGGCCACCAGGGGGCGCCAGCACCUCAGCCGCUGCACACAGUCCAAGGGAGGGGCCAAGGGGCAGGAGUUGUGGCAGCAUUGCCACUUUUCUCCAGGUCUUUCUUCUGCCUUUUAGGGGACUAGUCACCCUGACAUUUUGGCCCAUGGGCUCCCAGCUGGACACUUCAUUCCUCAGUCUCCCUGGCAGGGGGAUGGGGCAACAUGAUUGUGUCUGCCCUGUGGGCUGUGAGCCCAACUGGGGUCCACACCUCGCAGGUCUUGCCCGUGGGAACGAUGUCCACCUCUGCUGGGAUAUGACAGCAAUCAAAACAUCCUGGAAGCCUUCUGUUGAGGACGGCAGGGUCGGGGCCAGUAAAGGAUCGCCCAUCCCAGACUGUAACGUGAGAUCAAAAUCACUGUGUCUUCUCUAAGCUGCCCUGUGUGGGUUCUGUUACCGGAGCUUAGCCUGCCUGCAGCCUGACCAAUCCAGAAAUGGGUUCAUCUGAACCAUUCGGAAUGGAACCAACGGGACAGAUGGACUCAGUGGAGGGAUGAGGUAAAAGGAGGACCAGGGACACUGACUCCUGGGACCAGUGGCAGGGAAGCAGCUUUGCAGGUGUGUUUGCAUAUCGUGCUGAUGCCCACGCAUCUCGGAGCAUUAUUUCUGAUAGGCCCGGACCACACUUUUGGUGUCUCAGGUGCGUCUUAUGAAAAAAUACGUUUUAGAACCAUUGCCUUAGAUACAGAUAUAAUCCAGGGUGAGAAGGCACUGGUAACAGGAGUCUCUGAGUCUCCGGAGUAACCAGCCUUGUUCUUAGCUGGGACUUAGCACGUGGAGCGGGGCUGCCGGGAAUGAAUGGGAAAGGCCUUGGCCCGAGUAGGUAUUAAAUCAGAACCUAGGCUGAAUGUAGCUGGUGUUUGGGCACUUAGGAUGAGCUGGGCCCCUGCUCAGCUCUGUCCCUGGGGAAACUCCAUCUCCUUAGUGGGUGAGCUGGACGUUUCUUUGCCUUCCAACUCUGAUGUCUCGGUGGCCCUGUAGAUGCAGAGCUUAUUUCCUUGUGCAGAUGAACUGUGUGUUUGUGUGUAUAAUUUAUAAUGAAAUGAAGAUGAUCACUGUAGUUUGUACCAGGAAAUGGACCAAAAAACCCACCUACUUUCCUGAAGUGCUUAAAGCAACUUCUUUCAUUUGGAUGGAGCCUUCCUCCCUGGGGACAAGGCUGUUGCUUAGGAAAUCUGACUGUGAAGUUUAUGUAAGCGGAGCCCUUGGCAUAGACUGGACACCAGAUGGGCAGCAGCAGUGCUGAGAUGACGCUGGUCAGGUUGAAGUUGUUGGUGUGAAUGGCAUAGAAGGUAUCUUGGGUGCGAUAGGAGUUGAAGAUCCAGUAACAGCAAACGGGCUGGCGGGGACGCAGGAUAUGUUGACAGGGGCUGGAAGCCGAGGCCAAGUGUCCUCUCUGCCCAAGACUGAAGGCACCCACAGCUGCCUCUCAUGGAUGGACACAUUUCGUUAUUAGUUUAGUAAAAUAGCACCCUUAUCUACUUUAGUCUUGUUUCCUUUGAAAACAGACAUUUUCAAGAGGAAAAAUUUUAAAAUUCCACAAAUCUGGCUUUAUCAAUGCUCACUUUUGACACUUUAAGAGUAAAUUUAAUGUUGGUUUGUCUGAUGAGGUCUUGUCCCUGGAUCAACUUCCUUCCAAUUUCAGUGUAUGUGUAAUCAAUCGCAUAGGUUACAUUCUUUAUUUUCAAAAUAAAGCAUAUUUGGAAUCCCAUUCUAUUAAUUUAUCCUGCAGACACAUUUGUACCUGCAGUCACUUUUUUGUAGCAAUAAAAUUGUGAAACUAAUUGUCUCUAAAUAGAGAAUUGUUUAACUAAAAUAUGGUACAUUCAUAUAGGGGAAUGGCAUAUAGCUGGUCCAAUACAGAUGAAAAGAGGGGCAAGAAAACUGUGAAAUAAUGUUAUGAUUCACACUUGUAAAAAGAAAUGGAUGGAUACUUCUUCAACGUGAUUAAAAAAGGCUACCUCAGGCCAGCCUCAUGAGCUUACUGGAUAAACAUGGGAGGAGCUCCUUCUAAAGCAGGAGACAGAGACGUCCAGCACCAUCCCUGUUUAGCCCUCUUCUCAUGGUCCUGGGCAAUGGCGAAGGGAAGAGAAAAAUCACCAGCGAAAAACUGCCGAAGAUAUAAAAUAAGCGGCAUUUUCAUAGUGAUGGUUAUUUACUUGGAAACUUCAAAAGAAUCAACUGAAAAGCUUUUUAUAUAAAUCAAUAGUCUUCAUAUAGUCAAAGUACCAGCUAGAAAAAACAAGAAAAAGUGACAUCUGAUUUAAAACAACCAAAAGUUUAGUCUUAAGUAUCUAAAUCAGUACUAAUAUUAAAAACAUUAGAAGACUCUUUUCUUAUUCUCUCAAUCGAAGAUGGCAUUUUAAGAUGCAAAAGCCAAAAAAGCCUUUAAAAAACUUUAUAAAUCAGAGUACGAAACAAAAUUAAAAAUCUUCAUGUCAACAGAAAUCUUAAGUCAAGAGACAGAUGACCAAUUGGGAGAAAUACAAAGGGGUCCUACAACUUAAACUGAAAAAGAGCAAUCCCAAGUGAGAAACUGACAAAGGAUAGAGUUCACAGAAAAAGAAAAAAACACAUAGCUCUUGAAUAUAUGUAUAUAUUUGGCCUAAUUCAGAAGAGAAUGCAAAUGAAGACCACAAGGAAAUACCAUUUGUCAGAGUGGCAAGGGUCAAAGAGCCUGACGUGUCCUGUUGGUGGAGGUGUGGGGAACAGACUCUGAUCCCUGCUGGCACAGCCCUACAGGGGGAUUAUCUGCAAUACUGAGACAAAAUUUUAAAUGCCCUUACCUUUGACCCAGCAAUUUCGCUUCUAGGAUUUUACACUACAAGUUAUGGCUAUAUAUCAUACAACCAAAUAUUACACAGCCAUCACAAGAAUGAGACCAUUCUAUAUGUACUUACAUUCUCCACCAUACAUUAGGUGAAAAAAAGCAGAAUUAUGCUAGCUUUGUCAAAAAACAUUAUAUAUAUAUAUAUAUAUAUUCAUGGAAUAAUUUUUGGAAAGGUCAGAAAACGUGGGCUGAGGUUGUCUCUGGAAUGGGGAACCUGGUGGCUGGGAGUGAGGGUGGAAGCGGAAGCCAGUCACUGUGUCUUCUUGAACUGGGUGUCCCCUCACAUUUGUCUUCAUCACGUGCUAAGGGAAGAGGGAGGGAUAGAGGAGGGAAGGUCAAUUCAGGUUAUAGGACCCUUCCAGCUUUAAGUCAAUAAACGCUAAGUUGGCUGCUAUAAUUUCAGAGCUAAUUAAUGAUGCAUGGAGCUUACAUGAUUAUUUUCAAGAUCUGAGA